rnacentral:rRNA from 1 species
UACGUAGGGUGCGAGCGUUAAUCGGAAUUACUGGGCGUAAAGCGUGCGCAGGCGGUUCGCCAAGUCAGGUGUGAAAUCCCCGGGCUUAACCUGGGAAUUGCGCUUGAAACUAGCGGGCUUGAGUGUGGCAGAGGGGGGUGGAAUUCCACGUGUAGCAGUGAAAUGCGUAGAGAUGUGGAGGAACACCGGUGGCGAAGGCGGCCUUCUGGCUCAUAACUGACGCUGUAGCGCGAAAGCGUGGGGAGCGAACGGG